GCUUCUGGAGACAAGAAUCAACUGAUUAGCGAGGGCCGCUUGCUCCAGAAGACGUAUCCUCCUGAAAUUUCCUCAGAAACACAAAGACGGGCAUCUCCAUGGAGGAAACAGCUCGCAGUGGAAGAGCAAGCAAUGAGGUAGCAGCCAUUUCAAGAUGACAGCAGCGCCUGGGUAACUUGAGGCCAGGCAGUGAAGUGGGCUCCAUGUUCUGGGGGCAACUGGUGUUUCUCUGUUGGGCAAAUGGGGACCAUCAGGACGUCAUCUCAGGCCGUCUGAGUGGAGCAGGAGGGGCAGCGCCAGCUAACAGCCACGCCCUUUCUCCGCCCUGACGCAACUGCACUGUCUUCUCAGCCAGGGACUCAGCACAGCCCUGGCAACAAAUGGAGGGUGGAGUGUGCUCUGGACAUACCCAGAGCGGACUGAUCUCUCCUCUGCUGGAGAGAGAAGAGCGACAACAAAACCCAGAAAAACAAAAACACAAACCAGGCCUUUGUGGAACUGGAGGGCUCUUUUUAUGGCUGUAGAAGGAAAAGAAAAGCAUCCUGCUGAACUUUGCUGGUGGUCCAGUGGUUACGACUCCAUGCUGCCAUUGCAGGGGGCAUCGGUUCGAUCCCUGGUCUGGCAACUAAGAGUCCAUGUGCUGGGUGGUGUGGCCAAAAGAUCUUUUAAAAAGAAGAAGGAAAGGAUCCUGCCAAGCCCAACUCCUCUCCCCAAAGUUUAGCUGGAGUGGAUUGCCAUUUCCUCCUCCAGGGGAUCUUCCUGACCCAGGGAACGAAUCCCUGUCUCCUGCAUCUCCUGCGUCUCCUGCAUCUUUACCACUGAGCCACCUGGGAAGCCCCCUUAAACUGCUUCUUGAACUUCUCUGGUACUACCUCCCUUCUCUGCUUACCAGUCCUCACCCUUUUAGCCCCAGCUCCAUCCCCAAUUCCAGCUGCCCUGAAUGCUGCAGAUUCCUGACCCUUGAGGGGUUAGAGAAGUUCUAUAGGUAGAUGGGUUACUUCUUGCCUUUCUCUGACUUUCCCUGGUCUGCUGAGUCAGGCCUGUCCUGUUUCUCUUCUACGUCACACCCGUCAGUACAAACCAACCACCGCAGCUUUGCUGUGUUUUUCUGAUGUUCCAGGAGAGAUCAGAGGUUAACUGUGCAUAGUCAGUCUUUCAUCUUUAACCCAGAGUUAAAGCCAUGGCUUUCCAUAUUUCUUAAAUUCCCUUCAAUUAGCACACAAUUUUAUAGUUGAGAAAAGAGAGAGAAGGAGAAAGGUGAACAUUUUGGAGGUCGAUUUGAAAGCACUUGGAAACUGCAAACAGAUUUGAAAGUGAGGCAGGAGUCCAGAGAGACGGGAGGGCAGAAGUGCCAUUGGCAGAGAUGUGGAGUGAGAUUCCAGAAGCAGGUUCGAUGUGAUGAGUCAGUUAUGUUUCUCUGUUCUUCAGGGAGGGAUCCAAUUUUGAGCUAUGACCACAGGACACAUGGGGAAAGACCAGCUUUCCAGAAUGAGCACUUGGGUGCGCAGUGUCACCAGGGUCUGACCCAGUGCCCCAGCUGCCCUUGACCUUGGAAGUUGGAGCCAUGUGACACCCUAUAACCCUGAACCCAGGCUCAUCCCUUCCCUAUAUUCUGGAACUAUCUAACUCUAGUGGGGGUGGGUGAGACACAGGCAUCCUGGGCUCUGGAGCGUUUAGCAUCCAGGAAGCCCAACCACAAAUUCCCCUCCAACUCAUACCUCAACUCUAAUAACCAUCCAGUGGAAAAGGCUCCAGCUUACAGCCCAGUUCUAGCACCAGCCUACCCAAACAUACUUCCAAAUCCAUAUGAUCUGGGCCUGCUACCAAGGCCUAAAAUGAAAGCCAGAACACACACUCCGUAGCGAGAUCCUUGUUAACCUGCGGUCAGU
ensembl:lncRNA